UACGAAGGGGACUAGCGUUGUUCGGAAUUACUGGGCGUAAAGCGCACGUAGGCGGAUUGCUAAGUCAGGGGUGAAAUCCCGGGGCUCAACCUCGGAACUGCCUUUGAUACUGGCAAUCUCGAGUCCGAUAGAGGUGGGUGGAAUUCCUAGUGUAGAGGUGAAAUUCGUAGAUAUUAGGAAGAACACCGGUGGCGAAGGCGGCUCGCUGGGCAGUGGCUGACGCUGAGGCGCGACAGCGUGGGGAGCAAACAGG
rnacentral:rRNA from 1 species